AGAAAAAGAAACACACACACACACACACGCACACCUUUAACCAUUAGAAAGCCUUUCAUUUGUACAAAUACUUAUGUUUUAUUAACUUCUUCUUCUCUUCUUUGCAUUAUCCAAUAGUACGUAUACCAAACUCUUCGAUGCAACUGCAUGCAGUCACCUUUGAUGUUCAUUAUGUGAAAGGUUGCUCAGAACGUCAGAUGUGUGGAAAGGAGAUUGAGGAGGGCAAGGAGGGAAGAGAGUGAGAAAGAAAGGAAAUCAAGAGAAAGAGAAGGUUGUGAUAUAGUGAGGAGAGGAAGAGCAAAUGUCAAUUCAAGUGUAUGAGGUCUCAUUUUGAUCAUUUUACUCAAAUGCAACAGUUAAUGAAUUGUUAAGAAAAGGAAGGCCAUUUUCACUUUCUCCCCGUCCAUUUGCUUAACGCAAAAUUUAAUGUUUUAUCUAAUGGACGACUAAGUUUUAAGGAUUUUGAAUAAGCAUGAUAUAGUUUGAAAGUUCAAAA